rnacentral:piRNA from 1 species
UGCCGCAAAGGUUGGGUUGAUGAC